rnacentral:rRNA from 1 species
UACAGAGGUGCCGAGCGUUAGGCGGAAUCACUGGGCUUAAAGCGUGUGUAGGCGGACGCUAAGUACCUUGUGAAAUCCCACGGCUCACCCGUGGAACUGCUGGGUAUACUGGGCGUCUUGAGCCACCUAGGGGCCAGCGGAACAAAUGGUGGAGCGGUGAAAUGCGUAGAUAUCAUUUGGAACGCCAACGGUGAAAACAGCUGGCUGGGGGUGUGCUGACGCUGAGACACGAAAGCCAGGGGAGCGAACGGG